rnacentral:rRNA from 1 species
CACAAUGGGCGCAAGCCUGAUGCAGCCAUGCCGCGUGUGUGAAGAAGGCCUUCGGGUUGUAAAGCACUUUCAGCGGGGAGGGAGGCGGUGAGGUUAAUAACCUCAUCGAUUGACGUUACCCGCAGAAGAAGCACCGGCUAACUCCGUGCCAGCAGCCGCGGGAAUACGGAGGGGGCAAGCGUUAAUCGGAAUUACUGGGCGUAAAGCGAACGCAGGCGGUCUGUCAAGUCGGAUGUGAAAUCCCCGGGCUCAACCUGGGAACUGCAUUCGUAACUGGCAGGCUAGAGUCUUGUAGAGGGGGGUAGAAUUCCAGGUGUAGCGGUGAAAUGCGUAGAGAUCUGGAGGAAUACCGGUGGCGAAGGCGGCCCCC